rnacentral:rRNA from 1 species
ACAUUUUUUUAAGUUUUAAUUUAAAGUAUUCCCUGCCCUAUGAUUAAAUUUAAAUGGCUGCAGUACUCUGACUGUGCAAAGGUAGCAAAGUAAAUAGUUUUUUAAUUGGAAACUGGUAUGAAUGGGUUUAUGAGAAAUUUAUUUUAUUAUUUUUAUAUUUUGAAUUUAAUUUUUGAGUUAAAAAGCUUAGUUUUAUAAUUGGGACGAAAAGACCCUAUAGAACUUUAUUAAUAUCAUAGUUUAAUUUUUUUUGGUUCUUUGGUUUAAAUUUUUUUACAUUAUUAAUUUAACUGGGGUGGUGGUUAAAUUUUAACUUUAUUUUUUUUUUUCAUUAAUUUUUGACUAUUUUGAUCCUUUAUUUUAAGAUUAAAAGAUAAAGUUACCUUAGGGAUAACAGCGUAAUUUAAAUGGAGAGUUCAUAUUAAUAUUUAAGUUUGCGACCUCGAUGUUGAAUUAAGGAAAAGAUUAGGGGUAGGUUCUUUUUUUUUAAGUCUGUUCAACUUUUAAAUUCUUACAUGAUCUG